UACGUAGGGUGCAAGCGUUGUCCGGAAUUAUUGGGCGUAAAGAGCUCGUAGGCGGUCUGUCGCGUCUGCUGUGAAAACUCAGGGCUUAACCCUGAGCUUGCAGUGGGUACGGGCAGACUAGAGUGCGGUAGGGGAGACUGGAAUUCCUGGUGUAGCGGUGAAAUGCGCAGAUAUCAGGAGGAACACCGGUGGCGAAGGCAGGUCUCUGGGCCGUAACUGACGCUGAGGAGCGAAAGCAUGGGGAGCGAACAGG
rnacentral:rRNA from 1 species